UAACGCGUGGGUAACCUGGCCCAUACGGGGGGAUAACACUUAGAAAUAGGUGCUAAUACCGCAUAACAACAGAAAGCGCAUGCUUUUUGUUUGAAAACCAAGGUGGUAUGGGAUGGACCCGCGUCUGAUUAGCUGGUUGGCGGGGUAAAGGCCCACCAAGGCGACGAUCAGUAGCCGGCCUGAGAGGGUGGACGGCCACAUUGGGACUGAGACACGGCCCAAACUCCUACGGGAGGCAGCAGUGGGGAAUAUUGCACAAUGGGGGAAACCCUGAUGCAGCGACGCCGCGUGAGUGAAGAAGUAAUUCGUUAUGUAAAGCUCUAUCAGCAGGGAAGAAAAUGACGGUACCUGAGUAAGAAGCCCCGGCUAACUACGUGCCAGCAGCCGCGGUAAUACGUAGGGGGCAAGCGUUAUCCGGAUUUACUGGGUGUAAAGGGAGCGUAGACGGCAGUGCAAGUCUGGAGUGAAAGGCGGGGGCUCAACCCCCGGACUGCUCUGGAAACUGUACGGCUGGAGUGCAGGAGAGGUAAGUGGAAUUCCUAGUGUAGCGGUGAAAUGCGUAGAUAUUAGGAGGAACACCAGUGGCGAAGGCGGCUUACUGGACUGUAACUGACGUUGAGGCUCGAAAGCGUGGGGAGCAAACAGGAUUAGAUACCCUGGUAGUCCACGCCGUAAACGAUGAUCACUAGGUGU
rnacentral:rRNA from 1 species